UACGGGGGGGGCAAGCGCUGUUCGGAUUUACUGGGCGUAAAGGGCGCGUAGGCGGCCACCGCAAGUCGACUGUGAAAUCUCCGGGCUUAACCCGGAAAGGUCAGCCGAUACUGCGGGGCUAGAGUGCAGAAGGGGCAACUGGAAUUCUCGGUGUAGCGGUGAAAUGCGUAGAUAUCGAGAGGAACACCUGCGGCGAAGGCGGGUUGCUGGGCUGACACUGACGCUGAGGCGCGAAAGCUAGGGGAGCGAACGGG
rnacentral:rRNA from 1 species